rnacentral:rRNA from 1 species
CCUACGGGGGGCAGCAGUGGGGAAUAUUGGACAAUGGGGGCAACCCUGAUCCAGCCAUGCCGCGUGUGUGAAGAAGGCCCUCGGGUUGUAAAGCACUUUCAGUGAGGAAGAACGCCUGGUGGUUAAUACCCAUCAGGAAAGACAUCACUCACAGAAGAAGCAUCGGCUAACUCCGUGCCAGCAGCCGCGGUAAUACGGAGGGUGCGAGCGUUAAUCGGAAUUACUGGGCGUAAAGCGCGCGUAGGUGGCUUGAUAAGCCGGUUGUGAAAGCCCCGGGCUCAACCUGGGAACGGCAUCCGGAACUGUCAAGCUAGAGUGCAGGAGAGGAAGGUAGAAUUCCCGGUGUAGCGGUGAAAUGCGUAGAGAUCGGGAGGAAUAACAGUGGCGAAGGCGGCCUUCUGGACUGACACUGACACUGAGGUGCGAAAGCGUGGGUAGCAAACAGGAUUAGAUACCCUGGUAGUC